rnacentral:rRNA from 1 species
CCUACGGGAGGCAGCAGUGAGGAAUAUUGGUCAAUGGACGAGAGUCUGAACCAGCCAAGUCGCGUGAAGGAUGACUGCCCUAUGGGUUGUAAACUUCUUUUGUAAGGGAAUAAAACGAGGCACGUGUGCCUUUUUGCAUGUACUUUAUGAAUAAGGAUCGGCUAACUCCGUGCCAGCAGCCGCGGUAAUACGGAGGAUCCGAGCGUUAUCCGGAUUUAUUGGGGUUAAAGGGAGCGUAGAUGGGUUGUUAAGUCAGUUGUGAAAGUUUGGGGCUCAACCGCAACAGUGCCAUUGAUACUGGCAGUCUUGAGUACAGUUGAGGUAGGCGGAAUGCGUGGUGUAGCGGUGAAAUGCUUAGAUAUCACGAAGAACCCCGAUUGCGAAGGCAGCUUACUAAACUGUGACUGACAUUGAUGCACGAAAGUGUGGGUAUCAAACAGGAUUAGAUACCCGUGUAGUC